rnacentral:ncRNA from 1 species
GCCGCCCCCUAAUGGCGGUGAACUGCAACCCUGAUGCGUCCGGGCGGACGCUUCUUGCAUGGCGGCAAUGUUGUGCGUUCCUGCCGUUCCAUGCCCGGUGACGCUAUGUAGCAUAACAGCGCACACCCCCGGGCUUUGAUGUCUUUGUGCCGAUAAGCCCGGGGAUGCUAUACAGGGUUCUUUAAGGAAACGGAGAUGAA